rnacentral:rRNA from 1 species
CGUACACUCCUGCGGGAGGCAGCAGUGGGGAAUAUUGGACAAUGGGCGCAAGCCUGAUCCAGCCAUGCCGCGUGAGUGAUGAAGGCCCUAGGGUUGUAAAGCUCUUUCACCGGUGAAGAUAAUGACGGUAACCGGAGAAGAAGCCCCGGCUAACUUCGUGCCAGCAGCCGCGGUAAUACGAAGGGGGCUAGCGUUGUUCGGAUUUACUGGGCGUAAAGCGCACGUAGGCGGACUAUUAAGUCAGGGGUGAAAUCCCGGGGCUCAACCCCGGAACUGCCUUUGAUACUGGUAGUCUUGAGUUCGAGAGAGGUGAGUGGAAUUCCGAGUGUAGAGGUGAAAUUCGUAGAUAUUCGGAGGAACACCAGUGGCGAAGGCGGCUCACUGACUCGAUACUGACGCUGAGGUGCGAAAGCGUGGGGAGCAAACAGGAUUAGAAACCCGAGUAGUCCC